rnacentral:rRNA from 1 species
GAUGAACGCUGGCGGCGUGCCUAAUACAUGCAAGUCGAGCGGACGGGCGAGAAGCUUGCUUCUCUGAUGUUAGCGGCGGACGGGUGAGUAACACGUGGAUAACCUACCUAUAAGACUGGGAUAACUUCGGGAAACCGUAGCUAAUACCGGAUAAUAUUUUGAACCGCAUGGUUCAAAAGUGAAAGACGGUCUUGCUGUCACUUAUAGAUGGAUCCGCGCUGCAUUAGCUAGUUGGUAAGGUAACGGCUUACCAAGGCAACGAUGCAUAGCCGACCUGAGAGGGUGAUCGGCCACACUGGAACUGAGACACGGUCCAGACUCCUACGGGAGGCAGCAGUAGGGAAUCUUCCGCAAUGGGCGAAAGCCUGACGGAGCAACGCCGCGUGAGUGAUGAAGGUCUUCGGAUCGUAAAACUCUGUUAUUAGGGAAGAACAUAUGUGUAAGUAACUGUGCACAUCUUGACGGUACCUAAUCAGAAAGCCACGGCUAACUACGUG